GCCUUCGUAGUUCAAUAGGAUAAAACAUCAGAUUCCGGUUCUGACAUUGCGGGUUCGACUCCCGCCGAGGGUA
rnacentral:tRNA from 1 species